rnacentral:rRNA from 1 species
GAGUUUGAUCAUGGCUCAGAUUGAACGCUGGCGGCAGGCCUAACACAUGCAAGUCGAGCGGAUGACGGGAGCUUGCUCCUUGAUUCAGCGGCGGACGGGUGAGUAAUGCCUAGGAAUCUGCCUGGUAGUGGGGGACAACGUUUCGAAAGGAACGCUAAUACCGCAUACGUCCUACGGGAGAAAGCAGGGGACCUUCGGGCCUUGCGCUAUCAGAUGAGCCUAGGUCGGAUUAGCUAGUUGGUGGGGUAAUGGCUCACCAAGGCGACGAUCCGUAACUGGUCUGAGAGGAUGAUCAGUCACACUGGAACUGAGACACGGUCCAGACUCCUACGGGAGGCAGCAGUGGGGAAUAUUGGACAAUGGGCGAAAGCCUGAUCCAGCCAUGCCGCGUGUGUGAAGAAGGUCUUCGGAUUGUAAAGCACUUUAAGUUGGGAGAAGGGCAGUAAGUUAAUACCUUGCUGUUUUGACGUUACCGACAGAAUAAGCACCGGCUAACUCUGUGCCAGCA